GAUGAACGCUGGCGGCGUGCUUAACACAUGCAAGUCGAGCGAAGCACUUACCAUUGACUCUUCGGAAGAUUUGGUAAAUGACUGAGCGGCGGACGGGUGAGUAACGCGUGGGUAACCUGCCUCAUACAGGGGAAUAACAGUUAGAAAUGGCUGCUAAUGCCGCAUAAGCGCAUAGUACCGCAUGGUACGGUGUGAAAAACCGAGGUGGUAUGAGAUGGACCCGCGUCUGAUUAGGUAGUUGGUGGGGUAACGGCCUACCAAGCCGACGAUCAGUAGCCGGCCUGAGAGGGUGAACGGCCACAUUGGGACUGAGACACGGCCCAGACUCCUACGGGAGGCAGCAGUGGGGAAUAUUGCACAAUGGGGGAAACCCUGAUGCAGCGACGCCGCGUGAAGGAAGAAGUAUCUCGGUAUGUAAACUUCUAUCAGCAGGGAAGAAAAUGACGGUACCKACUAAGAGCCCCGYYUUYYA
rnacentral:rRNA from 1 species